GAGUUUGAUCCUGGCUCAGAACGAACGCUGGCGGCAGGCUUAACACAUGCAAGUCGAACGCGUGUAGCAAUACACGAGUGGCGCACGGGUGAGUAACACGUGAUAUCUGCCUUUUGGUUCGGGAUAACCCUGGGAAACUAGGGCUAAUACCGAAUGGUUCCUACGGGAUAAAGAUUUAUCGCCAAAAGAUGAGUCCGCGUCCGAUUAGCUAGUUGGUGAGGUAAUGGCUCACCAAGGCGACGAUCGGUAGCUGGUCUGAGAGGACGAUCAGCCACACUGGGACUGAGACACGGCCCAGACUCCUACGGGAGGCAGCAGU
rnacentral:rRNA from 1 species